rnacentral:rRNA from 1 species
GACGAACGCUGGCGGCGUGCCUAAUACAUGCAAGUUGAACGCUGAAGAGAGGAGCUUGCUCUUCUUGGAUGAGUUGCGAACGGGUGAGUAACGCGUAGGUAACCUGCCUUGUAGCGGGGGAUAACUAUUGGAAACGAUAGCUAAUACCGCAUAACAAUGGAUGACACAUGUCAUUUAUUUGAAAGGGGCAAUUGCUCCACUACAAGAUGGACCUGCGUUGUAUUAGCUAGUAGGUGAGGUAAUGGCUCACCUAGGCGACGAUACAUAGCCGACCUGAGAGGGUGAUCGGCCACACUGGGACUGAGACACGGCCCAGACUCCUACGGGAGGCAGCAGUAGGGAAUCUUCGGCAAUGGGGGCAACCCUGACCGAGCAACGCCGCGUGAGUGAAGAAGGUUUUCGGAUCGUAAAGCUCGGUUGUAAGUCAAGAACGGGUGUGAGAGUGGAAAGUUCACACUGUGACGGUAGCUUACCAGAAAGGGACGGCUAACUACGUG